rnacentral:rRNA from 1 species
AGCGGCAAAAGCUCAAAUUUGAAAUCUGGCACUUUCAGUGUCCGAGUUGUAAUUUGAAGAAGGUAUCUUUGGGUCUGGCUCUUGUCUAUGUUUCUUGGAACAGAACGUCACAGAGGGUGAGAAUCCCGUGCGAUGAGAUGACCCAGACCUAUGUAAAGUUCCUUCGAAGAGUCGAGUUGUUUGGGAAUGCAGCUCUAAGUGGGUGGUAAAUUCCAUCUAAAGCUAAAUAUUGGCGAGAGACCGAUAGCGAACAAGUACAGUGAUGGAAAGAUGAAAAGAACUUUGAAAAGAGAGUGAAAAAGUACGUGAAAUUGUUGAAAGGGAAGGGCUUGAGAUCAGACUUGGUAUUUUGUAUGUUACUCUUUCGGGGGUGGCCUCUACAGUUUACCGGGCCAGCAUCAGUUUGGGCGGUAGGAGAAUUGCAAAGAAAUGUGGCACUGCUUCGGUAGUGUGUUAUAGUCUUUGUCGAUACUGCCAGCCUAGACUGAGGACUGCGGCUUCGGCCUAGGAUGUUGGCAUAAUGAUCUUAAGUCGCCCGUCUU